rnacentral:rRNA from 1 species
AAUGAGCGGCGGACGGGUGAGUAACACGUGGGCAACCUGCCUUGCAGACUGGGAUAACCCCGGGAAACCGGGGCUAAUACCGGAUGACCAUCCGGAUCGCAUGAUCCGGAUGUAAAAGUGGGGAAUUUAUUCCUCACACUGCAAGAUGGGCCCGCGGCGCAUUAGCUAGUUGGUAAGGUAACGGCUUACCAAGGCGACGAUGCGUAGCCGACCUGAGAGGGUGAUCGGCCACACUGGGACUGAGACACGGCCCAGACUCCUACGGGAGGCAGCAGUAGGGAAUCAUCCGCAAUGGGCGAAAGCCUGACGGUGCAACGCCGCGUGAACGAUGAAGGUUUUCGGAUCGUAAAGUUCUGUUAUGAGGGAAGAACAAGUGCCGGUCGAACAGGCCGGCGCCUUGACGGUACCUCACGAGAAAGCCCCGGCUAACUACGUGCCAGCAGCCGCGGUAAUACGUAGGGGGCAAGCGUUGUCCGGAAUUAUUGGGCGUAAAGCGCGCGCAGGCGGUCUCUUAAGUCUGAUGUGAAAGCCCACGGCUCAACCGUGGAGGGUCAUUGGAAACUGGGGGACUUGAGUGUAGGAGAGGAAAGUGGAAUUCCACGUGUAGCGGUGAAAUGCGUAGAUAUGUGGAGGAACACCAGUGGCGAAGGCGACUUUCUGGCCUACAACUGACGCUGAGGCGCGAAAGCGUGGGGAGCAAACGGGAUUAGAUACCCUGGUAGUCCACGC